GAUGAACGCUGGCGGCGUGCUUAACACAUGCAAGUCGAACGGAAAGGCCCAAGCUUGCUUGGGUACUCGAGUGGCGAACGGGUGAGUAACACGUGGGUGAUCUGCCCUGCACUUCGGGAUAAGCCUGGGAAACUGGGUCUAAUACCGGAUAGGACGAUGGUUUGGAUGCCAUUGUGGAAAGUUUUUUCGGUGUGGGAUGAGCUCGCGGCCUAUCAGCUUGUUGGUGGGGUAAUGGCCUACCAAGGCGUCGACGGGUAGCCGGCCUGAGAGGGUGUACGGCCACAUUGGGACUGGGAUACGGACCAGACUCCUACGGGAGGCAGCAGUGGGGAAUAUUGCACAAUGGGCGCAAGCCUGAUGCAGCGACGCCGCGUGGGGGAUGACGGCCUUCGGGUUGUAAACUCCUUUCGCUAGGGACGAAGCGUUUUUGUGACAGUACCUGGAGAAGAAGCACCGGCUAACUACGUG
rnacentral:rRNA from 1 species